ACAACCACGGCGGCCAAGCAGCACUUCCGCCAACGUCCGACGUCACUUCCGCUGACGUAUGACGUCACUUUCGGGCACUCGCGUCACUUCCGUUUCCAUUGGCGACUUCAGGACGCGAGAGAGUCACAGAUAAAAUGGCAGAGCUCAUGGGAGUGAUUGGAACGAUAGUCGCCAAUGCAAAAGGGAAAAGUGAAGCCUGAAAGGACAACGAUACCCCUCUGCUGUUGCCUGGCCAAAAGGGAAAACAAAAGGUCACGCCGCGAGUUUACAACGGAGUCCAAAUGCGUUUGUAGUCUAUCACGAACCUACACGAAGGCCGCAGUCAAGUUAAAAUGAUCAAAAACAUUUGUACGAAAAGCACGUCAAAAGAGAAAAUGAAAUUCAAAGAAAUCAGUCAGUACGGCAGUAAGUGAGCGUGCCAUCUUGUGACGACGUAUCCUUUCGCAGACGAGUUCGUAGCCUCGAAACGUCGUCGUAUGUCGAAACGACACGCAAAGCUCCGGCAAAUAUCACAAGCAGACGUUACUUAUGACAUCAGAAUGAGGCGUCACCACAAUCAAACCUAAUCCUAAAGAACGGCGACGUUAACCACUCACCGUCGGAACGAGGAACAGCCACUUCCGGGUUUGGAGCUGUCGCGCCCUACAAGAUGGUACAAAUACAUCGUCUUGAAAUCAUUUAUUUCUUCUCAUAUUUAGAUUUAGCUCAUGACAAUAAUACAAUAUUUUUAGUUGGAAGUGUUCAUUUCAAUGUUGUUGUUAUUGUAUUAUUGUAUUAUUAGCUUUGCAUCUCUUCCAGGCUGAAGUUGAGGAAACUCUGCAGAGAAUCGAAGCCCACGGGAGUGUGAUUGGAACCAUAGUUGCUAAUGCAGAUGGCCACCAAAGUCGACUGUGGACAUGCGUAGGCCCCCGGCUCACCCACCACCCUAAUGAGGACAAGCGCUAUAGAAAAGGGAUCACGGAUGGAUGGGUAUUUUGUAUUUCUCCAAAUACCAAGGUAUUCCCGUCCGAUCGACGUUCGACAUCUCCAAAGCCGGCAAGUACGUGGAGGUCCUUCGCCACCUCACCGCCUUGGCCAGGAGCACGGUGAGGGAUGUGGACCCGCAAGACGAUCUCGUCGUGAUGCGCAUAAGCACCAAGAACCAAGAGAUUAUGGUCGCGCCAGGUAAAGCGGGGGGUCGAAUAAGCACUCGUACUCGCACGCUGCACUUAAAUACAAGGAACAAAAACAAAAGCAGAAGUACUGAUUCAACGUCUGUACUCAAGUAAAAGUACAAAAGUACCGACUGAAAUGUGUGUGCGCGCGCUCCGUACGGUACACAAGUUGACUAUUGUGGUGGUCUUGGGUAUUGGAGCCAUGUUUGUAUCUACUUUUUUUGAAUUGCGUUUCCCCUUGCAGAGAACUCCUACCUUCUCAUACUGAUCCAGAGAUAUGAGCGAUACGCACGUACAUGAGAGGCAGCCGGGUGGCGGAUUAUUCUAGAAACACGCUACUAACGUGUGCAAAUAAAAAGAAGUCAUUUGG